rnacentral:lncRNA from 1 species
CAGCCCGAAUCCCCCAAGACCCGAUCCGGGUCCUCAAUAAGUCCAAACGACGUCGUUUUCCAAGAGUCAAUCACAGCCGUUGUUUCUUAGUCAAACGGAAGAGAUCGUCCUAUGAUAUUUUUAUAUAUAUGCCCGAAAACCUUAUCCUCCCCCCCCCUUUCAAACCCCGUGGUCUAUCACCUAAACCCUAACUAGUCAGACACCCUUACAUCCCUCAUCGACAGCGUCGUCGGACAAGACAUGACUUUCUGUGGUGACUCUCAAAGUCACAGCCAUAGACCGCCUAGACGCCCUUAUCACAGAUAUACCAUCAUUUCCCUUCAAAUAUGACUUUUCCAUCUCAAAUAUUGAAGACUGGCGUCGCUACUUCUGCCACCCACGACGACGCCGGUCACAAAAACCGACCAAAAUAACACCAAUUUCUCUCCUUACUUUCCUCUUUCCAACCAUGCGACCAACUUCCUUCGAAUCAAACUCCACCCUCUUGAAUAUAUGUCUGAAGCUCAGGCCCAAAAUAACACCUUGUCCAAAUGGCUCCAAACUCGCACCCCACAAUCCCUUAACCUCCCUCGUGACAAUUUCCAUCCAGAAUCUCUCGAAUCUCAGUAGAGUUGGGGAUUUUUGGAUCUAGGGUUCAUGUAAUCCGACUAUUUUGGGAAUAAUUCAGGGUCGAUCAGGUUCUAUAGUAAGUGUUCCAUUUGUUUUACGUUUUAUUUUGUUUAUCAGGAAAGUUUAAUUGCUUUUUUGCUGCUUUUAUUCCAUCUGUUUUAAUCAAUGAAUUUUCUUCUCGUUUUUAGUUUUGUUUUAGUCUGAUGCAUAUGUCAUCUGCUAGUUACUCAUAGUUUUAAUUUCAGAAUCUUCUUAAUUGAUUAGUUUGGACUCGAUACAAUUCUGUCCGUUAAUUGUUAGCAAGAUGUUUAGGCUAAUUUCAAUUUAUUUUAGUUCUAAGUUGAUGUUUAAAUGUUCAAUUGUUAGCUUAUUGGUGAAAUGUUAGUUUAAUUUCAUUUAUUUCCGACUAUUAGUCUAGCUUUGCAUUGUUGAUCAUAGUCCCGUGAUUUUUAAAUCUGAUUGAGUUUCUGUGAAUGAAUAAUUGUGAUUUGUUGCUUCAGUUAGUUAAUUUCUGAGUUUUAAUUAAUCACUCCUAGUUUGUUUUGAAUUAAAUUAGGGGAUUGGUUAUAGCUGUUAAAGUUUAGGUAGAAUUAGUAAUUUGGAGAAGUUUUCAGGGGUACUUUUGGCAUGAGAAAUGGCUGGUUUAUCAGGAAAAGUAAUUUCAAACAAAGAAAGGGUAGCGUAGGUAUUGUAUGGGUAGAAGAACCCCCUAGGGUCUUCUAGAAUAGGACAUUAGUGUAGAUUUCAGCCAAUUUAGGACACUAGCAUGGGUAACAAGUUAAAAGAUGAGGGAUUAAAGUUGAUAAUAAAUAGGGACAAAUAGGGAAACGGAAAUGUGAGAGCUGCCCUCCUUUAGGCCUAUAAAAAGACAUCAAAAUGCCUUGAUGAACAUGUUUGGAAGAAUAAAAUUCCCCCCCACCCCCUUCCCAACACGCCCUCUUCAAGUUUCAGAUUUGAGAAUUCAAAUCUGAGACCCAAAACUUCUUCUAGUUACUAGUUAAAACAAAAACAAAAAACAAAAUUCCAUAGGAAAACCCCAAGAAAUUACUGUUCCAUCAGCAUUCUAGAUGAGCUUUACCUUUUAGCUAUUUUCUUUACAUUUUCCUAGUAUAGUUUCUGGUCAUUCGAAGUUCAGAGGUGUUGUUGAUCAAUUUUGAGUGAAUUUAGGUUCAAUUGAGACUGUUUCAAGCUGUUUUAUUAUAUGGUGAUUUCAACAAUGGUUCUGAUUUAGUUUUGAGUCUAUCUGGGUAUUUUCGAGUCAUUUUGAGGUCAAACAGGUGAGAUUAGGGCUGUUUUGUUGCUUCUCUCUAUUACUCCCCUGGGUGCUACAAUAUCGAUUUGGUCGUAGAAUUGGUCACGUUUGCUAUUGUAUACUGUUGCUGCCUAGCUGAACUCUCUCUUAUUAUUUGUUAUUUCACAUAUGUAGGUACUAAUUGAACUCAGCUUGAUGUUGCUUUGCUUAUGGAAAGUAUAAAAUGAAAUUGACGCAGAGUUCUUUCUGAGAAAUUGCAUUUUUACAAUUUCAUUAUGUUCUGAAUUAGUUGUUUUGUGUAUUCAAACUAGGACUGUUUUCAAUUUUUUUUUAUUCAAGGUCUGUUUGGAUUUUCAGAGGAAUGUUUAGUAGUUUGUGUUCGUUUAAUGUAUGUUAUUAGUAUAGCAUAGUAUAGUGUAUGUAGUUUCAGCUUUCAAUGAUGUUAAGUCUAGUUUGUGUAUCAGUGUUAGUGUCAACAAUGCCGUUUUUAUGUGAAUCAGAAACUAAUUGAGUAAUGGCUAUGUAACGAUCAUCUCAUCAGUUUAAAAAUAGUUGUAUGUUCAAAAUUUUGGGUGUCGUUGAUUUGUUCAUGCGGAAGGUCUAGUAAAAUCACGUACUUAAGCUUCGUUCUUGUAAUCAUGUUCCCGAUUCCAAUUUAGUUGUCAUUUUUUAUAAGAGUUGGGAAUUCAUUAAUAGAAAAGUAAGUG